CAAUCUUUUAGAUUCUGUGGAGAUGAUGAAGAUUUAGCGAUCUCCAUUAUUAGAAGAAAAUCUAUGAAGUAAUUUGUGUGCAUUGCUGACCAUCACAUGAAACGCCUUCCAAUAACAUGUUUAUGGUUCAGUGAACAUGAAAUCAAAUUACUUUUCUCCAAAAGCCUGGUACAGCAGAUUGUGUUGACACAACUCCUUCAAUUCCAGGGGCCAACCUCACAAUCCACCCUGUUUUGAACAGGGAUCAGAGGCCCACUAAGAUCCCUUCCAAAUUGAAUUGUUCUGUGAUUCUAGGAACCAUAGAAGCGUUUGUAAUGAAGCUCUGUGCAAGUAUCAUAGACUUAACUUGAGCUUAAGUCCAUCAGUACAUAGGAAUGGGGUAUAUUAACUCGGUAAAUCACCACCCUAAAACAUUCCCCCCGUUCAACUACAAAAAUGCAGAUACAAUCUGCCCCCAUCCUGCUUUGUUGCCCAGAAUACAGGUUAG
ensembl:lncRNA